rnacentral:rRNA from 1 species
GAUGAACGCUGGCGGCGUGCCUAAUACAUGCAAGUCGAGCGAACAGACGAGGAGCUUGCUCCUCUGACGUUAGCGGCGGACGGGUGAGUAGCACGUGGAUAACCUACCUAUAAGACUGGGAUAACUUCGGGAAACCGGAGCUAAUACCGGAUAAUAUAUUGAACCGCAUGGUUCAAUAGUGAAAGACGGUUUUGCUGUCACUUAUAGAUGGAUCCGCGCCGCAUUAGCUAGUUGGUAAGGUAACGGCUUACCAAGGCGACGAUGCGUAGCCGACCUGAGAGGGUGAUCGGCCACACUGGAACUGAGACACGGUCCAGACUCCUACGGGAGGCAGCAGUAGGGAAUCUUCCGCAAUGGGCGAAAGCCUGACGGAGCAACGCCGCGUGAGUGAUGAAGGUCUUCGGAUCGUAAAACUCUGUUACUAGGGAAGAACAAAUGUGUAAGUAACUAUGCACGUCUUGACGGUACCUAAUCAGAAAGCCACGGCUAACUACGUG